GCAAGUCGAACGAAGUAGCAAUACUUAGUGGCAGACGGGUGAGUAACAUGUAGGUAUCUACCCUUUGGCCUGGAAUAACACGAGGAAACUUGUGCUAAUACCGGAUAAGUCUUUACGGAGAAAGCUUUAUGCACCAUUGGAUGAGCCUGCACUUGAUUAGUUUGUUGGUAGGGUAAUGGCCUACCAAGACUGUGAUCAAUAGCUGAUUUGAGAGGAUGAUCAGCCACAUUGGGACUGAGACACGGCCCAAACUCCUACGGGAGGCAGCAGUGGGGAAUCUUGCACAAUGGAGGAAACUCUGAUGCAGCGAUGCCGCGUGAGUGAAGAAGGCCCUUGGGUUGUAAAGCUCUUUCGUCGGGGAAGAAAAUGACUGUACCCGAAUAAGAAGGUCCGGCUAACUUCGUGCCAGCAGCCGCGGUAAUACGAAGGGACCUAGCGUAGUUCGGGAUUACUGGGCUUAAAGAGUUCGUAGGUGGUUGAAAAAGUUGGUGGUGAAAUCCCAGAGCUUAACUCUGGAACUGCCAUCAAAACUUUUCAGCUAGAGUUUGAUAGAGGAAAGCAGAAUUUCUAGUGUAGAGGUGAAAUUCGUAGAUAUUAGAAAGAAUACCAAUUGCGAAGGCAGCUUUCUGGAUCAUUACUGACACUGAGGAACGAAAGCAUGGGUAGCGAAGAGGAUUAGAUACCCUCGUAGUCCAUGCCGUAAACGAUGUGUGUUAGACGUUGGAAAUUUAUUUUCAGUGUCGCAGCGAAAGCGAUAAACACACCG
rnacentral:rRNA from 1 species